UGGGCAGGCUAGAGGAGGAAGCGUUGCGGCGAAAGGAACGGCUGAAGGCCCUUCGAGAGAAAACCGGGCGCAAGGGAGCUCAGGCUGCGGAACUACGUCCCGGAGGACGAGGCCCUGAAGAGGAGAAGGGUGCCCCAGGCCAAGCCAGUUGCAGUGGAAGAGAAGGUGAAGGAGCAGCUGGAGGCCGCCAAGCC